rnacentral:rRNA from 1 species
CCUGAUCCAGCCAUACCGCGUGGGUGAAGAAGGCUUCGGGUUGUAAAGCCCUUUUGUUGGGAAAGAAAUCCAGCUGGCUAAUACCCGGUUGGGAUGACGGUACCCAAAGAAUAAGCACCGGCUAACUUCGUGCCAGCAGCCGCGGUAAUACGAAGGGUGCAAGCGUUACUCGGAAUUACUGGGCGUAAAGCGUGCGUAGGUGGUCGUUUAAGUCCGUUGUGAAAGCCCUAGGCUCAACCUGGGAACUGCAGUGGAUACUGGGCGACUAGAGUGUGGUAGAGGGUAGCGGAAUUCCUGGUGUAGCAGUGAAAUGCGUAGAGAUCAGGAGGAACAUCCAUGGCGAAGGCAGCUACCUGGACCAAYACUGACACUGAGGCACGAAAGCGUGGGGAGCAAACAGGAUUAGAUACCCUGGUAGUCCACGCCCUAAACGAUGCGAACUGGAUGUUGGG